rnacentral:rRNA from 1 species
GAUGAACGCUGGCGGCGUGCCUAAUACAUGCAAGUCGAGCGAACAGACGAGGAGCUUGCUCCUCUGACGUUAGCGGCGGACGGGUGAGUAACACGUGGAUAACCUACCUAUAAGACUGGGAUAACUUCGGGAAACCGGAGCUAAUACCGGCUCAUAUAUUGAACCGCAUGGUUCAAUAGUGAAAGACGGUUUUGCUGUCACUUAUAGAUGGAUCCGCGCCGCAUUAGCUAGUUGGUAAGGUAACGGCUUACCAAGGCAACGAUGCGUAGCCGACCUGAGAGGGUGAUCGGCCACACUGGAACUGAGACACGGUCCAGACUCCUACGGGAGGCAGCAGUAGGGAAUCUUCCGCAAUGGGCGAAAGCUUGACGGAGCAACGCCGCGUGAGUGAUGAAGGUCUUCGGAUCGUAAAACUCUGUUAUUAGGGAAGAACAAAUGUGUAAGUAACUAUGCACGUCUUGACGGUACCUAAUCAGAAAGCCACGGCUAACUACGUG